rnacentral:rRNA from 1 species
CCUACGGGGGGCUGCAGUGGGGAAUAUUGGACAAUGGGGGCAACCCUGAUCCAGCCAUGCCGCGUGUGUGAAGAAGGCCCUCGGGUUGUAAAGCACUUUCAGUGAGGAAGAACGCCUGGUGGUUAAUACCCAUCAGGAAAGACAUCACUCACAGAAGAAGCACCGGCUAACUCCGUGCCAGCAGCCGCGGUAAUACGGAGGGUGCGAGCGUUAAUCGGAAUUACUGGGCGUAAAGCGCGCGUAGGUGGCUUGAUAAGCCGGUUGUGAAAGCCCCGGGCUCAACCUGGGAACGGCAUCCGGAACUGUCAAGCUAGAGGGCAGGAGAGGAAGGUAGAAUUCCCGGUGUAGCGGUGAAAUGCGUAGAGAUCGGGAGGAAUACCAGUGGCGAAGGCGGCCUUCUGGACUGACACUGACACUGAGGUGCGAAAGCGUGGGUAGCAAACAGGAUUAGAUACCCGGGUAGUC